rnacentral:rRNA from 1 species
CAGGCCUAACACAUGCAAGUCGAACGGCAGCAUGGAGGAGCUUGCUCCUCUGAUGGCGAGUGGCGAACGGGUGAGUAAAGCAUCGGAACGUACCGUGUAAUGGGGGAUAACGUAGCGAAAGUUACGCUAAUACCGCAUACGACCUGAGGGUGAAAGCAGGGGAUCGCAAGACCUUGCGUUAUACGAGCGGCCGAUUUCAGAUUAGCUAGUUGGUAGGGUAAAGGCCUACCAAGGCGACGAUCUGUAGCGGGUCUGAGAGGAUGAUCCGCCACACUGGGACUGAGACACGGCCCAGACUCCUACGGGAGGCAGCAGUGGGGAAUUUUGGACAAUGGGGGAAACCCUGAUCCAGCCAUGCCGCGUGAGUGAAGAAGGCCUUCGGGUUGUAAAGCUCUUUCGGCCGGGAAGAAAUCGCACAGGCUAAUACUCUGUGUGGAUGACGUACCGGCAUA